AUUGAACGCUGGCGGCAGGCCUAACACAUGCAAGUCGAACGGUAACAGGAAGCAGCUUGCUGCUUUGCUGACGAGUGGCGGACGGGUGAGUAAUGUCUGGGAAACUGCCUGAUGGAGGGGGAUAACUACUGGAAACGGUAGCUAAUACCGCAUAACGUCGCAAGACCAAAGAGGGGGACCUUAGGGCCUCUUGCCAUCGGAUGUGCCCAGAUGGGAUUAGCUAGUAGAUGGGGUAACGGCUCACCUAGGCGACGAUCCCUAGCUGGUCUGAGAGGAUGACCAGCCACACUGGAACUGAGACACGGUCCAGACUCCUACGGGAGGCAGCAGUGGGGAAUAUUGCACAAUGGGCGCAAGCCUGAUGCAGCCAUGCCGCGUGUAUGAAGAAGGCCUUCGGGUUGUAAAGUACUUUCAGCGGGGAUGAAGGGAGUAAAGUUAAUACCUUUGCUCAUUGACGUUACCCGCAGAAGAAGCACCGGCUAACUCCGUG
rnacentral:rRNA from 1 species